UGUUGACCUCGAAUCAGGUAGGAAUACCC
rnacentral:rRNA from 4 species